rnacentral:rRNA from 1 species
GGACAACAUUCAAACCCUUUGCAGUUGCAAUCAGCGUCUGAAAAAACAUAAUAGUUACAACUUUCAACAACGGAUCUCUUGGUUCUGGCAUCGAUGAAGAACGCAGCGAAAUGCGAUAAGUAGUGUGAAUUGCAGAAUUCAGUGAAUCAUCGAAUCUUUGAACGCACAUUGCGCCCCUUGGUAUUCCAUGGGGCAUGCCUGUUCGAGCGUCAUUUGUACCUUCAAGCUCUGCUUGGUGUUGGGUGUUUGUCUCGCCUCUGCGUGUAGACUCGCCUUAAAACAAUUGGCAGCCGGCGUAUUGAUUUCGGAGCGCAGUACAUCUCGCGCUUUGCACUCACAACGACGACGUCCAAAAGUACAUUUUUACACUCUUGACCUCGGAUCAGGUAGGGAUACCCGCUGAACUUAAGCAUAUCAAUAAGCGGAGGA